rnacentral:rRNA from 1 species
CAGCCGCCGCGGUAAUACGUAGGUCCCGAGCGUUGUCCGGAUUUAUUGGGCGUAAAGCGAGCGCAGGCGGUUAGAUAAGUCUGAAGUUAAAGGCUGUGGCUUAACCAUAGUACGCUUUGGAAACUGUUUAACUUGAGUGCAAGAGGGGAGAGUGGAAUUCCACGUGUAGCGGUGAAAUGCGUAGAUAUAUGGAGGAACACCGGUGGCGAAAGCGGCUCUCUGGCUUGUAACUGACGCUGAGGAGCGAAAGCGUGGGGAGCGAACAGGAUUAGAUACCCCCGUAGUCCCUGUCUCUUAUACA